GUUUGAUCCUGGCUCAGAGCGAACGUUAGCGGCGCGCCUAACACAUGCAAGUCGCACGAGAAACGGAGCAAUCCGCGGUACAGUGGCGCACGGGUGAGUAACACGUGGAUGACCUUCCCUGGAGUGGUGGAUAACCUGCCGAAAGGCGGGCUAAUACAGCAUGGGACCACGACGCUUUGGCGAUGUGGUGAAAGCGGGCCUCUAUAUAUAAGCUCGCGCUCCGGGACGGGUCCGCGUCCCAUCAGCUAGUUGGUGAGGUAACGGCUCACCAAGGCAACGACGGGUAGCUGGUCUGAGAGGAUGGCCAGCCACACUGGAACUGAGACACGGUCCAGACUCCUACGGGAGGCAGCAGUGGGGAAUCUUGCGCAAUGGGCGAAAGCCUGACGCAGCGACGCCGCGUGGGCGAAGAA
rnacentral:rRNA from 1 species